UACGUAGGGUGCGAGCGUUGUCCGGAAUUAUUGGGCGUAAAGAGCUUGUAGGUGGCUCGUUGCGUCGGGAGUGAAAACCUGCGGCUUAACCGCAGGCCUGCUUCCGAUACGGGCGAGCUGAGAGUUCGGCAGGGGAGACUGGAAUUCCGUGGUGUAGCGGUGGAAUGCGCAGAUAUCAGGAGGAACACCGGUGGCGAAGGCGGGUCUCUGGGCCGAUGACUGACACUGAGAAGCGAAAGCGUGGGGAGCGAACAGG
rnacentral:rRNA from 1 species